ACCUGCUGCAGUGGAUGCCUUGGUCCAUGUGAUGUGGAAGAACGGAGUAGCCUUCGAUACGGGAAUUGCGAAAUGCAGAGACUCGUGAGCUUUGUGGAGAUGACUACCUUUGAACGCAACAGGCAAGUGG
rnacentral:rRNA from 16 species